AAUCUUCCACAAUGAGCGAAAGCCUGAUGGAGCAACGCAGCGUGAGUGAAGAAGGUUUUCGGAUCGUAAAACUAUGUUGUAAGGGAAGAACAAGUACAGUAGUAACUGGCUGUACCUUGACGGUACCUUAUUAGAAAGCCACGGCUAACUACGUCCCAGCAGCCGGGGUAAUACGUAGGGGGCAAGCGUUGUCCGGAAUUAUUGGGCGUAAAGCGCGCGCAGGAGGUCCUUUAAGUCUGAGGUGAAAGCCCACGGCUCAACCGUGGAGGGUCAUUGGAAACUGGGGGACUUGAGUGCAGAAUAGGAAAGGGGAAUUCCAAGUGUAGCGGUGAAAUGCGUAGAGAUUUGGAGGAACACCAGUGGCGAAGGCGACUUUCUGGUCUGUAACUGACGCUGAGGCGCGAAAGCGUGGGGAGCAAACAGG
rnacentral:rRNA from 1 species